UCAGACUGCAGGCUGCAACUCGCCUGCACGAAGUCGGAAUUGCUAGUAAUCGUAGGUCAGCAUACUACGGUGAAUACGUUCCCGGGCCUUGUACACACCGCCCGUCAAACCAUGAGAGUUGGCAACACCCGAAGUCGGUAGUCUAACCGCAAGGAGGACGCCGCCGAAGGUGGGGUUGAUGAUUAGGGUUAAGUCGUAACAAGGUAUC
rnacentral:rRNA from 1 species